AGGCGAAGACCUUACCGUGGGUUUGAACUUCAGUGGCAAGGCUCAGAGAUGAGUCCCUCCCUUCGGGGAUCGCUGGAGAGGUGCUGCAUGGCUGUCGUCAGCUCGUGUCGUGAGAUGUUGGGUUAAGUCCCGCAACGAGCGCAACCCUUGUCCAUAGUUACUAACGGGUUAAGCCGAGAACUCUAUGGAGACUGCCGGUGAUAAACCGGAGGAAGGUGGGGAUGACGUCAAGUCCUCAUGGCCUUUAUGUCCAGGGCUACACACGUGCUACAAUGGACGGCACAAAGAGUCGCAAAACCGCGAGGUUGAGCUAAUCUCAAAAAACCGUUCUCAGUUCGGAUUGCAGUCUGCAACUCGACUGCAUGAAGCUGGAAUCGCUAGUAAUCGCGGAUCAGCACGCCGCGGUGAAUACGUUCCCGGGUCUUGUACACACCG
rnacentral:rRNA from 1 species